rnacentral:rRNA from 1 species
AACGAACGCUGGCGGCAUGCCUAACACAUGCAAGUCGAACGAGACCUUCGGGUCUAGUUGCGCACGGGUGCGUAACGCGUGGGAACCUGCCCUUAGGUUCGGAAUAACUCCCCGAAAGGGGUGCUAAUACCGGAUAAUGUCUUCGGACCAAAGAUUUAUCGCCGUUGGAUGGGCCCGCGUUGGAUUAGCUAGUUGGUAGGGUAAAAGCCUACCAAGGCGACGAUCCAUAGCUGGUCUGAGAGGAUGAUCAGCCACACUGGGACUGAGACACGGCCCAGACUCCUACGGGAGGCAGCAGUGGGGAAUAUUGGACAAUGGGCGAAAGCCUGAUCCAGCAAUGCCGCGUGAGUGAUGAAGGCCUUAGGGUUGUAAAGCUCUUUUACCCGGGAUGAUAAUGACAGUACCGGGAGAAUAAGCACCGGCUAACUCCGUG